CCUACGGGAAGCAGCAGUAGGGAAUCUUCCACAAUGGGCGAAAGCCUGAUGGAGCGAUGCCAUGUGAACGAAGAAGGUCUUUUUGAUUGUAAAGUUCUUUUAGAGGGGAAAAUAAUGAUGGUACCCUCUGAAUAAGUGACAGCAAACUAUGUGCCAGCAGCUGCGGUAAUACAUAGGUCGCGAGCGUUAUUCGGAUUUAUUGGGCGUAAAGCAAGCGCAGGCGGACAGAUAAGUUUUGUGUUAAAAGCAGUUGCUCAACAAUUGUUUGCGCUGAAUACUGUCUGUCUAGAAUACGGUAGGAAGUUUUGGAAUUGAAUAUGGAGCGGUGGAAUGUGUAGAUAUAUUCAAGAACACCAGAGGCGAAGGCGAAAACUUAGGCCGCUAUUGACGCUUAGGCUUGAAAGUGUGGGGAGCAAAUGGGAUUAGAUACCCCAGUAGUCCACACUGUAAACGAUGGAUAUUAGAUGUUGGGGCUUGUGCCUCAGCGUUGUAGCUUACGUAUUAAAUAUCCCGCCUGGGUAGUACAUAUGCAAAUAUGAAACUCAAAGGAAUUGACGGGGACCUGAACAAGUGGUGGAACAUGUUGCUUAAUUCGAUAAUACACGAAAAACCUUACCAAGGUUUGACAUCCCCCGCGAAGCUAUAGAAAUAUAGUGGAGGUUAUCGGGGUGACAGGUGGUGCAUGGCUGUCGUCAGCUCGUGUCAUGAGAUGUUUGGUUAAGUCCCGCAACGAGCGCAACCCUACUCUUUAGUUAGUUGUCUAAAGAGACUGAACAGUAAUGUAUAGGAAGGUUGGGAUCACGUCAAGUCAUCAUGCCCCUUAUGCCUUGGGCCGCAAACGUGUUACAAUGGCGAGUACAACGUGCCGCAAACCAGCGAUGGUAAGCUAAUCACUAAAAGCUCGUCUCAGUCCGGAUAAAAGGCUGCAAUUCGCCUUUUUGAAGUUGGAAUCACUAGUAAUCCCGUGUCAGCUAUAUCGGGGUGAAUACGUUCCCAGGUCUUGUACACA
rnacentral:rRNA from 1 species